rnacentral:tRNA from 1 species
GCCCCUAUAGCUCAGCUGGAUAGAGCAUCCCCCUCCUAAGGGGAAGGUCUCAGGUUCGAAUCCUGAUGGGGGCGCCA